rnacentral:rRNA from 1 species
GACGAACGCUGGCGGCGUGCCUAAUACAUGCCAGUUGAGCGCUGAAGGUUGGUACUUGUACCAACUGGAUGAGCAGCGAACGGGUGAGUAACGCGUGGGGAAUCUGCCUUUGAGCGGGGGACAACAUUUGGAAACGAAUGCUAAUACCGCAUAAAAACUUUAAACACAAGUUUUAAGUUUGAAAGAUGCAAUUGCAUCACUCAAAGAUGAUCCCGCGUUGUAUUAGCUAGUUGGUGAGGUAAAGGCUCACCAAGGCGAUGAUACAUAGCCGACCUGAGAGGGUGAUCGGCCACAUUGGGACUGGGACACGGCCCAAACUCCUACGGGAGGCAGCAGUAGGGAAUCUUCGGCAAUGGACGAAAGUCUGACCGAGCAACGCCGCGGGAGUGAAGAAGGUUUUCGGAUCGUAAAACUCUGUUGGUAGAGAAGAACGUUGGUGAGAGUGGAAAGCUCAUCAAGUGACGGUAACUACCCAGAAAGGGACGGCUAACUACGUG